AUGGAGUCUGAGUCGCAUUCCUUACCCUCUGUCAAUGGGGGUUUUGAAUCAGGAGUCAUCAUUUUGAAUGGUGAUUCAAAGAUGGAGGAGUCAUUUGGAGAAUCUUUGUCAGGUGAAGCCUUCUCCAUGAAUACUUUAGAAUCCAUGUUUCCUAUGAAAUUUGAUGGGGAGAAAAUCUUGUCGAGAGACCAAUGUCUCCUUCUGUCUUGA